rnacentral:lncRNA from 1 species
AGCAAGAGUAAGAAGUAUUGGCAGCAGCAAGCAGGCGGGCAGGCUGAGAUCUUGCAUGGAAAUCAUGAACCAGGUCUUGCUUUUCGUUUUUGAAACGUUUUGGAAGGAGAGUUAUGAAUAGCCCAGAAAUAGGUCUCAUUUUGUGGGUAGGAAGAAUGACCAGAAGCAUGAAAGCUAAAUCUCCUGGCAAGUGCAGGGGACCUCUCUUGGAGUGUGCAGUAAACCCGAGGGGACGACUUCUCCUGCUGUCAACUCCUGAACCAUCACAUCUGGAGUGAAGGAAGGGGCUGGUGAAGCCUUGUAAUAAAUGCAAAGGAUGCUGCUGAGAGCUUUGGUCUGCCUUUAACUCAUUGUGGUGUCUUCUGUCUUAUUUCCUGAGAUGUCAUCUGGCCAGUGAAGCACGUGGAUCUGCCAAUCUCCAUUUCAUGAGCACAGUAUUUACAUGCAUGUACUGCCAUGCUUAUUGUGGUGGUUUGGAUAAAGUAGCCCCCACAGGGUGAUAGAGAGUGGCACCAUUAGGUGUUGCCUUAUUGGUGUAGGUGUGGCUUUGUUGGAGAAAAUGAGCCACUGCGGGGCAGAUUUAAACAUCUCAGAAACUCAAACCAGGCUUAGAGGCUUAUAGUUCUUUCUUACUGCCUGGGAAUCCAGAUGUAGAAGUCUUAGCUACCUCUCCAGCACCAUGUCUGCCUGCAUGUCACCCUGCUUCCUGCCCUGAUGAUAACGAACUAAACCUCUGAGAUUGUAAGCCAGCCCCAAUUAAAUGUCUUCCUUUAUAAGAGCUACCAGGAUCAUAGUGUCUGUUUACAGCAAUAAAAACCCAACUAGACACCUA